ACACGUGGGCACCUGCCCUUGGCUCUGGGAUACUCCGGGAAACCGGGGCUAAUACGGAUACGACCACUGACGACAUCUUCUGUGUGCAAAGAAUUUCGGCCAAGAUGGGCCCGGGCCUAUCAGCUUGUUGGUGGGGUAAUGGCCUACCAAGGGAGACGGGUACCGGCCUGAGAGCGACCGCACACUGGGACUGAGACACGGGCCAGACUCCUACGGAGGCACAGUGGGGAAUAUUGCGCAAUGGGCGAAAGCCUGACGCAGCGACGCCGCGUGAGGGAUGAAUGCCUUCGGGUUGUAAACCUCUUUCAGCAGGGACGAAGCGAAAGUGACGGUACCUGCAGAAGAAGCACCGGCCAACUACGUGCCAGCAGCCGCGGUAAUACGUAGGGUGCAAGCGUUGUCCGGAAUUAUUGGGCGUAAAGAGCUCG
rnacentral:rRNA from 1 species